CUUUCUGAUUGAGUGUAAGCUGCUAUAUGAAGGGAUCCACAAGACGAAUAAUUAAGGGGGACCUCUGAUCAACAGCCAGCAAGGAACUGAAUCCCUCAGACCCACAACUCACAAGAAACUGAAGCUGAAGCAGAUUCUUCCUCAGUCAAGCUUCAGUGGACGUGUGAAAUCAUGAGUUGGAUGGACAAAAUCACUUUCUCAUAUGCUUGAGAGAUGUAAACGGACCUUUCAGAUCCAGAGACAGAUCUAUCAAAGUCAUAUUUCCGACACCUGCCACUGGUUUCCCUUGCUUUUAUAACCCAACAGAUAAUGGGGCCAUGUUUAAAAGGAAUGGGGGUGAUGGUAUAGAUUCAGGAUCUAGGGGUUAUUCGUUAUAAUAUCUGUGUUAACCUGAGUGUUAGGAAUGGGUCACCAGGGGAGUUUCUGAUAUAGCCUGAGAAUGAUGAAGAUGCUGGAAAACCGGCCCCGUCACACACCAAUGAAGCACGAAUAGCUGUGCCCAUCUCUCAGACAACUGGCUGAUGUCGGCAGCAGGAACUGAACUGAACAAACAGGGAGGAGAGUGACUUUGCUUCUCAUCAAAGGUUACAGAAUGAAGCCUGCAGCUCAGCUUUCCAUGAAGUCAUCUUUAUGGAUUUGGGGUUCUGUGGAACUGAUUAGUAGCUUUAAAUCCCCACUUGGCUUUGUCUUUGUAAGAAGAAAAUACCUAAUUGUGUCUCAGAUUCACA
rnacentral:lncRNA from 1 species